GCACUGCUGAGGAGUCCCAUACCAGGACGAAACGGCCGUCCAGUGU
rfam:Schistosoma margrebowiei strain Zambia genome assembly, scaffold: SMRZ_contig0000111